rnacentral:misc_RNA from 1 species
UUUCCGUAGGUGAACCUGCGGAAGGAUCAUUCAUAAUAGAGUGUUUUAUGGCACUUUUUAAAAAUCCAUAUCCACCUUGUGUGCAAUGUUAGAUCUCGUCAAUCUUGGCGAGAUUUUUAUACAUCAACUCAUUCUUUAACUAAUCUGUCUGAAAAAUAUUAUGAAUACUUAAUUCAAAAUACAACUUUCAACAACGGAUCUCUUGGCUCUC